GGUAACUAUCAUAGGAACACAACGGAUAGGAUAAAAAUGAGGAGGAAUGAAAAUAAAAAACUAUUCCUCGUGAUAAAGUUUUUAAAGAAUGUUAAGGAAUGUAGUGUUAUUAUUCUUUUCCUUGGUCACCAUUCAAAGCAUGUAGCUUAACCGUUCAAAAAUUCAAUGAGGUUGUAAACUCUUCACUUAUCCCUUUAUGCCAAUUUUUUUUUUUUUUUUAAAAAGAGGCUCUACG
rnacentral:lncRNA from 1 species